CGCGGGUGUAUCUCAUCAAUGGGUUUGGCUUCAGACUGUUGAUGUAAUGAUGAUCAUGUAAGAUCAGUGUGGCACUGAAGUAUCUGUUUUACUCUCACUUGGAAAGUCAGGAUACUUCUUCAAACUUCAGUGUGCAAAGCAGACCCAUGGGGUUACAGUCUUGCAAGCCUUGCAACUCCUGCCUGCAAAGUAAGGAGGACUGCAGAGCGGCUGGUGGCUGCUCUUGUGUGUGUGACUACUGGAGAUACUGCUCUGAACACUGCUGUGACAUCUGCUGCCAGAUGUGUGUGGACGUGUGCUCUGGGUUGUGUUCAGGAGACUGCAGCUACACAUUCUGUACCAUCUGCCUCAGCAUGGCACAGAACUGUAUCUCCUUUUUUACCACCCAAGAAACUGAAUCAUCAGAGUCACAACAGGCUUUGAGUGAUCCAGUACAGCGUGGCAAUUGAAAGAUGACAGACCAAUGACUUACAAUGCAAAAACACCUUUUAUAGUGAAUUUCAACUUGCAAGCGAUCGCAGUGGCAGCAUGAGUUUGACCCACAGCAUGACCUGCAGACAAUAACAUGGUCAGGAAGAUAUGGAUAUUCGUCCUUUACAACAGAUUGAUUGACAAGCGAGUGUUGAGGAAAGUCUGAUUGCUUCCUUCCACAUGCAGCGAUUGUGGGGCCAAGCUCUGCUGCUGCCUAAUGACACCAGAGAUGAGAGGCACACAUACUUUGACAACAGGUCUGAAAAGAGCUCUCUGCACGGCGGCAGUGUUUGGAUUUAACAACGGACCGUUACAAUAGGCUCAAGCUUAUCAUCGCUAUCAUGGCUGAACAAAAGCUCUGUGAACAAAACCAGCCUUCCUGGGUCCAACACCUGUGACGGCAGACACUGUUUCCUACUAAUACUCCUGUUGCCACCUUUCAAUUCAUGUGGAUGGAUAUUUAUUAUUAUUGCGUAUCUGGAUAUUUUGUUACAAAAAGGACAACCACUUCAAGUGUAUUUUUCAGAGACUCUUAGAGAGACAAACAGUAUUCCCUUCCCCUCAACUAAGCGGAGCCAUGCAUUGUUCAACUCUGGAGGAUUAAACUGGCCUCAUCCUGGCAUACAAGCGGUACUUCAAAGCACUUGUUGGAUGUCUGCAAGAUUGUUUUGUACUUUGAGGCAAACAAAAAUAUAAUUUGGCUGCACACAGCGAACAAUCUGAUAUCACUUCUGUGAGAUACGGGCGCCUCAGGAAACAAGGUGCUAUUUGCUUCCACUGAAUUAGACCUUUUUAUUAUCCUCCAUAAAAAAAUUGUGAGUUUAUGGAAAUCUUAAAUGAUUGAGUGAGCAAUGUUUCUGCAUCGAAAGACACUUAGAACGAGCUCUUACGAAGAAAAUCUAACAACACAGCGGACUGUGCCGGUUUCUGCUUUUGUUUUCUUUUCCUUCAAAUCCCUCUAGAGUUUGCAAUGCAUUCAGUUCAACUCAAAUUCAUAUCCCUCUCAAACUCAUAGGAUAAGCCGUGUGGCCUAGUUUACUCCUUGAACUGACCUUAUCCUGCUGGAAAUUUGCGUGUCUAUAUUUUUAUCUACAGUAGCUCCUGUGAGUCCAAAACAAUUUGUAUAUACCUCACUCACCUUGAUUGAUCGGCUGAGUUUGGUUCUUUGUAUGGAUUUUUCUUUUUUUUAAGCAGAGAGCCGAGGAUAGAACGAGUGAAGUCUUAUUUAAUAUCAGAAAUCCAGUAGGAGCUCUGUGAUUGAAUAUACUGUCCACAACUGUUGCAUUGAGAUUGUUCAUACAGUAUAGGGUACUAAAUGACAAAAAAGCUGAUGUAUUGUGAAUGUACUGUAUAUACUGGGUUGAGUCCUCUUAUGUGUGGAGUUACAAACUAAUGUCACCAUAAUGUUAAAUACAUUGUCUCAUGGGGCUUGUCUUGAGAAAUGUUUCAUUGAUAACCACCAGAAUAUGGGCGCACACAAUGGUAACAGUAAUAGGAAGUCAGGAUGAGGCCCUAAACGACUGAGGAUCUACUUCAACAAUGUGCAGAAGGAAGAACCAAAUGUAGGUUUUUGGGGAUUUUUUCCCCACCUUUUCUGUCUUUCAUAAUUUUCCCUCUUUUCUUAUCUCUUUGUGGCUGAGUGCAUUUCUCUCCCCCUGCUCGCUGUCUGCGUUCUCCUCUCAUGAAUUGCAUUGCUUUUACUGAAUGUCUUCUGGUUAGGUGUGGAGAAAUUCAUUGUGUGCUGCUGUCACUCAACUAGAUUAUAGCUCUGGAGGAUCUUUAUUGCUCACCCUCCAAAAAUAAGUAGGAGCCUUCUAACUUUGCCGGCCCAAAAUAUCUGUAGAUGUCUGUUUUUUUUCCCCCAUUGUGUACAAAAGAAACAUGUGAGAAAAGGUUUGGAAGACUAAAUCGGAAUUUGAUUCAACCAAGCUUCUAUCAACAAAUACUCGUACACUUGUAACCUUGUAGAUGUAGAGAUCUAAAAAAGCAGAAAAUAAAGAGACGCGUGUCAUUCAAAGCUUAAA